GUUUACCCGCGUUGUUUGGUUGGUGGGAAAAUGUCGAACUAAUUUUCUCGGGAAAAUAAUAAGUCCUUGCCUUGCACUGGCGAUAUGGGCAUUCCAUUUUAGAAGUGUUUCGGUCAGAGAGUGGGCUGAAAAUGGCGGCAACUUUCACUGCCAUGUCUUCCCUCGGAUCCAUGAUCUAGCUGCCAAUGGCAACUUGUUGGAUACGAAGCUGUCAUAAACUUCGGUUUGUGUCUGCAAAUUUACUUCCUUGUAGGUUGGAGCAGACGUUGUCAAAAGGGAGCUGAGUUAUCCUUUGAAACUCUCCCCAUACUUUCGACUUGCUUCCGGCCAGAAGCUUGAGAACUUCCACUACUUUGCACUGUUUAGUUACUUUCCAACCAUAACCCGAGAUUCGGUUACGAUGCUGCAACUGGAAAGUACGAGGAUCUUAUGCCUGUAUUGUAUGCAUCAGCAAAGGUUGUAAGAUGCCGCUCGGUGCAAGCAGUCUGAGCCAGUCCCCACCUGCGACCCAAUUGGACAAGUCAGGUUCUUUCAGACAUUUCUAGCCUAAUUAUUACAAGAAGUGCUUGUUUCCGUCAAACCCAUUUUCAGUCACUGAAUCUGCGUUCCUUUGCUCUGGUUCCAUGGUAUCCGUACUGAGAUGAAUGAGAAACCUGGUAAUGCGUUGAAAAACAGAAUAAUAGUAGAACAUUCUGGGGAGAGUGGAUACAGAUUCAUACAUAGCAUGCGAAAUUCUUGUGCAAAUGAAAGGAUUUCGAUCUUGAAGCCAAACCAAAAGUUUGAAUAGAUGCUAAA